GGAAUUGUUCGCAAUGGGCGAAAGCCUGACGACGCAACGCCGCGUGGAGGCUGAAGAAUUUCGGUUCGUAAACUCCUUUCGACCGAGAUGAACACCCCGCAACUUAAUACGUUGCGGGACUGACAGUAUCGAGAGAAGAAGCCCCGGCUAACUCUGUGCCAGCACCCGCGGUAAUACAGGGGGGGCAAGCGUUGUUCGGAAUUACUGGGCGGAAAGGGUUCGUAGGUGGCCAACUAAGUCAGAUGUGAAAUCCCUCAGCUUAACUGGGGAACUGCUUCUGAUACUGGUUGGCUUGAGUGCAGGAGAGGAAUGCGGAAUUCCAGGUGUAGCGGUGAAAUGCGUAGAUAUCUGGAGGAACACCGGUGGCGAAGGCGGCAUUCUGGACUGUAACUGACACUGAGGAACGAAGGCCAGGGGAGCAAAC
rnacentral:rRNA from 1 species